UACGGGGGGGGCAAGCGUUGUUCGGAAUUACUGGGCGUAAAGGGCUCGUAGGCGGCCAACUAAGUCAGACGUGAAAUCCCUCGGCUUAACCGGGGAACUGCGUCUGAUACUGGAUGGCUAGAGUUUGGGAGAGGGAUGCGGAAUUCCAGGUGUAGCGGUGAAAUGCGUAGAUAUCUGGAGGAACACCGGUGGCGAAGGCGGCAUCCUGGACCAAUAUUGACGCUGAGGAGCGAAAGCCAGGGGAGCAAACGGG
rnacentral:rRNA from 1 species